CCACUUCCGAUAAUUCUUUUAAAAAUGAGUCAUGAGAGCAUGUGUUAAUAAGGGUCUCAAUGUUGACCGGUAAUGGAGUUCAAAUGGAUGCUGGGACAAUAGUGGGAUGUACUGCUACUGUGAUUUAAUUCUAUAGCUGGAGAAAACAUUCUCUUCUGCUUUAUCUCCUUCUCACAUUCUGGGGGUUCUCCCUCAGUACCACUGGGAGGCAAGCUCUUCCAGUACUAUUUAGCAUGAGCACUGAAUGAUCUCAGACUCCUGCAUCUUUAAGACACGUGCCUGUGUGUUAGACCUGUCUGAGUUCCACAGCAAUCCCUCCUUAGCCAAGUGAAGUUCUACAGGUGUGCAUUCUGACAGUUUUGAACUUUCCUGGCCUUAUGCUAAGGUAAAUCCAUCAGGAAAUCUUUCUAAGACUUGUCUGGCUUUGUGUUCAGAAAUAGAAUGUUAGUGCUGUGCUGAAGGUUUCGCCUCCAUUAAGGACCCUAGUGUGAGAAAGUGGGACAGU